rnacentral:tRNA from 2 species
GAUCCCGUGGUCCAACGGUCAAGACACCGGUUCGACAUACCGGGAACGAUGGUUCAACUCCAUCCGGGAUCA